rnacentral:rRNA from 1 species
AGAGUUUGAUCCUGGCUCAGGACGAACGCUGGCGGCGUGCCUAAUACAUGCAAGUCGAGCGAGCGGAACCAACAGAUUUACUUCGGUAAUGACGUUGGGAAAGCGAGCGGCGGAUGGGUGAGUAACACGUGGGGAACCUGCCCCUAAGUCUGGGAUACCAUUUGGAAACAGGUGCUAAUACCGGAUAAUAAAGCAGAUCGCAUGAUCAGCUUUUGAAAGGCGGCGUAAGCUGUCGCUAAGGGAUGGCCCCGCGGUGCAUUAGCUAGUUGGUAAGGUAACGGCUUACCAAGGCGACGAUGCAUAGCCGAGUUGAGAGACUGAUCGGCCACAUUGGGACUGAGACACGGCCCAAACUCCUACGGGAGGCAGCAGUAGGGAAUCUUCCACAAUGGACGCAAGUCUGAUGGAGCAACGCCGCGUGAGUGAAGAAGGUUUUCGGAUCGUAAAGCUCUGUUGUUGGUGAAGAAGGAUAGAGGUAGUAACUGGCCUUUAUUUGACGGUAAUCAACCAGAAAGUCACGGCUAACUACGUGCCAGCAGCCGCGGUAAUACGUAGGUGGCAAGCGUUGUCCGGAUUUAUUGGGCGUAAAGCGAGCGCAGGCGGAAAAAUAAGUCUAAUGUGAAAGCCCUCGGCUUAACCGAGGAACUGCAUCGGAAACUGUUUUUCUUGAGUGCAGAAGAGGAGAGUGGAACUCCAUGUGUAGCGGUGGAAUGCGUAGAUAUAUGGAAGAACACCAGUGGCGAAGGCGGCUGUCUGGUCUGCAACUGACGCUGAGGCUCGAAAGCAUGGGUAGCGAACAGGAUUAGAUACCCUGGUAGUCCAUGCCGUAAACGAUGAGUGCUAGGUGUUGGAGGGUUUCCGCCCUUCAGUGCCGCAGCUAACGCAUUAAGCACUCCGCCUGGGGAGUACGACCGCAAGGU